rnacentral:rRNA from 1 species
AUACAUAGGGGGCAAGCGUUAUCCGGAAUUAUUGGGCGUAAAGCGUGUGUAGGCGGUCUAUUAAGUCUGGCGUGAAAUUCCACAGCUUAACUGUGGAGGGUCGUUGGAAACUGGUAGGCUUGAGUACGGCAGAGGUAAGUGGAAUUCCAAGUGGAGCGGUGGAAUGCGUAGAUAUUUGGAGGAACACCAGUGGCGAAGGCGGCUUACUGGGCCGGAACUGACGCUGAGACACGAAAGCGUGGGGAGCAAACAGGAUUAGAUACCCUGGUAGUCCACGCUGUAAACGAUGAGCACUAAGUGUCGGAUGUAAAUUCGGCGCUGCAGUUAACACAGUAAGUGCUCCGCCUGGGGAGUACGGUCGCAAGACUGAA